rnacentral:misc_RNA from 1 species
AUAUAAGUUCUUAUCUUUUUAUAUUUACACACAAAACACAUCGACAAUGACGUCGUUGGAUAAAGAGCUCGAGCAACAGCUUAUGGAAGCUGGAACUAAGCUUGUUAACCCUCCUUCUUCGGUUGAUGAACUUCUUCCUCUUCUCGACCAAGUCGAGAAUUGUUUAUCAAAAGUGGAGCAGUCCCCUACAAAAUCAAUGCAAGGUGCACUUGCCCCAUCUUUGAAAGCACUGGUUGCAGAGCAACUCUUUAGGCAUCCAGAUGUU